UCGGGAGGGGUCAGUGCUGUUUAGGUCCUGUAUAAGCAGAAGGGUUUCUUGCCGGAGACACCUGGGUCCAGACCGUGAGUGAGAACUGGCAUUUUCACAGUGAGCACGGCAUGGAGAAAGGCACAGCCGGCUGUUGCUGCAGUCGAAAGUGGGAGCCGAGGACCCUCUGAAGGAGCUGGGAAGAGCCUCCCUCCUCAGCCAUUCCCAGUAGGGCUGGGCCAGGGGCUGGGAUCCCGGUCUUCAGCCUCAUCAGAUGAGAUGUGCCACUCCGCCUUGGGUGCCUCUCAUGGCUCUUCAAGAAAGAGGGUCGUGAAGAUGAACCUCUCCAUUUUCAGAUGGGGAAGAACAAAGGCCCAGAUGUAACCAAAGCCCCAGCCUGUCCCAGCCCUUCCUGCUUCUUGGGUGUUUCCCGUGACCUCCUCCCUGGCCAGCUCCUGAGCAGGACACCACCGUGACACUGAUGCCCCCAUCUUGCCGAAGACCCUGCCCCUCCCUGGCACCUCCUGUUGGGUGGCCUACCCAAGGGUCUACCACUUCGGUGGGCCCAACCGUCUGGCGACCAACAGCAGCUCCAAAAGGCUGAGCCACCAGCCCCACCAUUCACGCCCAUUUAGCUGGGCCUGGUCACCCCAAAUGAGUGUGAAAAACGCCACCUUUGCAGGCCGGAAUCUGAGAGAAACUAGAACCUGCUGCUAGCUCCAUUCCCACGCGCUUCUCGUGUUUGCUGUUAUUUUUUAACACUUUUUUUUUCCCCAUAAAAGCACUAUCCUCUUC